GACCACAGACGCUGCCUACUAGUGGUCUGUAUGCACGUCGACGCGGACACCGACGCAGAAGUAUAAAUAGGUCCGACGCAGAAGUAUAAAUCAGCCUUAAGAAGAACAGCACUUUUACAGUUUCAUCCCUCUGCCUAAUGGGAGCGUUCACCGUAGUCAACCGGAUCCGGGCCGUAUCCAGGUGAGACCAAGGACCUGCACCUUGACACGACCACAACGCAGCCCUGACGUAUCAGCAGAGAUUGAGUCAACUAGAUCAUCCACUGUAAGGGCCUCAUCGACACGACAGCCACGACACAGUUCCUCAACAACCGUCCAUACCGGCGUGAUCCUCAAUACGAUCCUCAAUUGGAUGGAACUGAAAUAAAUACUUUUAAUGUUGCGAUCCUAUUGGACUUAUGAUAGCAACCUGAAUUGUAACAAAGCACUGUUGGCCAGAGGAGAACUGGCACCCCGACUAAGCCUGGUUUCUCCCAAGGUUUUUUUCUCCAUUUUAACACCAAUUUGCCACUUGUCUGCCACCUAAUGUCACCUGAUGGAGUUUGGGUUCCUUGCCGCUGUCGCCUCUGGCUUGCUUAGUUGGGGACACUUGACUUGACAUUUGAUAUUCAACAGUGCUUUGAUCUGCCUGCAUUGACACUAUUAUUUAAGAGCUGCUGUGCAGCCAAACAAUGUACCAGUUAUCAAUGUAAAGCUGCUUUGACACAAUCUACAUUGUAAAAAGCGCUAUAUAAAUAAAGGUGACUUGACA